UCCGUAGGGUGCGAUCGUUAAUCGGAAUUACUGGGCGUAAAGCGUGCGCAGGCGGCUUUGCAAGACAGAUGUGAAAUCCCCGGGCUCAACCUGGGAACUGCAUUCGUGACUGCAAGGCUAGAGUACGGCAGAGGGGGAUGGAAUUCCGCGUGUAGCAGUGAAAUGCGUAGAUAUGCGGAGGAACACCAAUGGCGAAGGCAAUCCCCUGGGCCUGUACUGACGCUCAUGCACGAAAGCGUGGGGAGCAAACAGG
rnacentral:rRNA from 1 species